AUUGAUGGUGCCCAGUUUCAACAGCCCAACUCACACAAAAGAAUUGUAGGAAAAAAAUGAGAAAGAAAGUUACCACUUAAUUGCAUACAGAGAGAAUAAGAGCAGAGAUAGUUUAACAGUAUUAUGAUUAUUAUGAUUAGACAAUCUGUAUCAAAGCUAUAAUGACAAAAGAAGAGAUUAGACAAAGAAAAAUGAUAAAGAAAUGCUAAUGAUUUAGCAGAACAUAUGUCCUUUAGACUCCGAAUGUGCUGUGGAUCGAGCACAAGAUACUUUGAUGAGGCUUUACCAAAUGUAGUUUUAGAACAUGAACAAAGCAUGUGAAGAAAAACGGUAAAUUAGAAAACAAAACAAGACUGAUCAAUGACACAUCACGUUGAUCAAUUACCUAUAAGAAAAAAUUAACCUAUAGAGAUGCAUAAGAAAAGCUGUGUCAAUGGACAUGGAGUGAAGUCCACACCUAUUGAACAGGAUAUUUAUAUUAAAGGCCAGCCAGAUUCACGAUAGAAAAUGCUAGAGUGGAAAUGUAUAUAGAGGAGAGUGCAAGGACUUUAGACUGUUAUAUAUUUUUAAGUUAUCAAAAUUAGAAUGUAAGCUUGCCUAUAAACCAUGGAAUCACAAGCUACACAGCGAUGAAGUGAUUAAUGUCUUUCUUGAUUUUCUUAAAGUGCAAAAGCUGAAUGAAGGAUCAAUGUUGACAUCUAAAGAGUCCUAUGUAUAGUGGCACUACUUGUUUAGGCAGAGCCAACAAAAUUAAUAAGCUGAAGAAUGUCAUAUAUGGGAGAAUUGCACUGCAUUCCAACUUGGUUGAGCUCAAUCACCCCAGUCACCAAAGGGAAUAAUAUAGUUAAAUGACACCGAAAUAUAAAUGCCCAAUCAGUCAAUGUGUGCCAGCUGGACAGCUAUAUAUUUUUAAUCAAUGUUUUGAAACCUGAACUCAAACAUCAUUUUGAUGUUUUAAACAAAAUGAUAAAUAUAAAAUCUACAACCAACAAAAAAAAA